rnacentral:misc_RNA from 1 species
UCUCCGUUGGUGAACCAGCGGAGGGAUCAUUACCGAGUUUACAACUCCCAAACCCCUGUGAACAUACCAUUUUGUGCCUCCGCUGUGUCUGCUCCGGCAGCGCGACAGGGGACACGAACCCAUGAUUCUUUACAGUAUCUUCUGAGUAAACGAUUAAAUAAAUCAAAACUUUCAGCAACGGAUCUCUUGGUUCUG